GUGGGGAAUAUUGGGCAAUGGGCGCAAGCCUGACCCAGCAACGCCGCGUGAAGGAAGAAGGUCUUCGGAUUGUAAACUUCUGUCAUUGGGGACGAAGGAAGUGACGGUACCCAAUGAGGAAGCCCCGGCUAACUACGUGCCAGCAGCCGCGGUAAUACGUAGGGGGCGAGCGUUGUCCGGAAUUACUGGGCGUAAAGGGUGCGUAGGCGGCGAUGCAAGUCCAUUGUGAAAAGCCCGGGCUUAACCUGGGAGGUGCAGUGGAAACUGCAUGGCUUGAGUGCAGGAGAGGAAAGUGGAAUUCCUAGUGUAGCGGUGAAAUGCGUAGAUAUUAGGAGGAACACCAGUGGCGAAGGCGGCUUUCUGGACUGUAACUGACGCUGAGGCACGAAAGCGUGGGGAGCAAACAGGAUUAGAUACCCGGGUAGUCC
rnacentral:rRNA from 1 species